UUAGGAAUUUUGCGCAAUGGGAGAAAUCCUGACGCAGCAACGCCGCGUGGGUGAUGAAGGCCUUCGGGUUGUAAAGCCCUUUUAGUGGGGACGAAAAAAAUGACGGUACCCGCAGAAAAAGCACCGGCUAACUCUGUGCCAGCAGCCGCGGUAAUACAGAGGGUGCAAGCGUUAUUCGGAAUUACUGGGCGUAAAGCGCAUGUAGGCGGUUCGGUAAGUCUGAUGUGAAAGCCCCCGGCUCAAUCGGGGAAGUGCAUCGGAUACUGCCGAACUGGAGGACAGGAGAGGAGAACGGAAUUCCUGGUGUAGAGGUGAAAUUCGUAGAUAUCAGGAGGAACAACGGCGGCGAAGGCGGUUCUCUGGACUGUUACUGACGCUGAGAUGCGAAAGCGUGGGGAGCAAACAG
rnacentral:rRNA from 1 species